rnacentral:lncRNA from 1 species
GCUAUCGCUUGUCACAUUGCUCUGAAGUUUCCAUUUGCACAGAUGGAGAACAAGACAUACUUUCACUUUGCUACUACGAGGUUUGAUAUUUUCAGAAGUAGUGCAGCUCUGAAGACUCCUGGAGAUCUUGGCAAGCUUUUCCAUCAACUGCAUCAACCAACAAGCGUUGCUACGUCAAGGAAGAAAGGUAUGCAGAUACAGGUGAGUUUCCUUAUAAGCUGUUGCAAAAUAUAUAGAGAGAAUUUUCUUGAUUCAGUUAAGACGUCUGAGGCAUCUGUGUAUUUCAAUAUGAGAUUCCUUGCUCUUCUGAUACACGGUUCUUCCACUGGUGGGAGGACAAUCUUAGAAUCUAAAAUACUCCCUCUAUGCAUAGUCUGCUUUGCUUAUCUGCCUUUUUGGAGUCUAAUUUUCACCAUUCACUGUCCUUGA